rnacentral:rRNA from 1 species
UGGUUAUAAUAGCAGAGAGGAUACACCUGUUCCCAUUCCGAACACAGAAGUUAAGCUCUCUAGCGCUGAUGGUACUUGGUAGGAAACUGCCUGGGAGAGUAGGACAUAGCCAGGUG